UACGUAGGGUGCAAGCGUUAUCCGGAUUCACUGGGUUUAAAGGGUGCGUAGGAGGGCAGGUAAGUCAGUGGUGAAAUCCCCGAGCUUAACUUGGGAACUGCCGUUGAUACUAUCUGUCUUGAAUAUUGUGGAGGUGAGCGGAAUAUGUCAUGUAGCGGUGAAAUGCUUAGAUAUGACAUAGAACACCAAUUGCGAAGGCAGCUCGCUACACAUAUAUUGACUCUGAGGCACGAAAGCGUGGGGAUCAAACAGG
rnacentral:rRNA from 1 species